UAGGUUUAAAAAACCUGGGUUUAUUUGUUCUAGACCUGGCUUACCCGAGCGGACAAGUCGAGCCGAGGGGGGGCAGCGUACCGGUAACCAAAAGAUCAUCCGGCUUUGUAACUUGUCCGAACCUCAUUCUAAAUUGGGAUAUGACACUAACAGAAAGAAGUUACGCCAGCGUGCACUCCUCAGAAAAUAGAAGAGAGGGGUUUCGUAGCAGUUUAUAUAUACAGUUCAGAUAAUAUCAAAGCGGUAAAAAGCAACAUUUAGCACAUUAAGCCCAAACAUGUAGAUAAAAUCAGACAAUAAAUAAAGCCAAAUAUAACAAUUAUUCUAAGCUCGAAUUCGAACCCUGAACCAAAGAUUCUGGGUUCUUUUCCCCAGCAGAGUCGCCAGAGCUGUCACACCUCCUAUUUCCUACACCCCGGAAGAGUAUAAGGGAGUUUUUUCCAAUUUUAAGUGACAAUUGAAACGAGAUUAUUUUAUUUAAAAUUAAGAGUUUCCACUUGGGAUAAUUUAUGGUAUCCCAAGUCACCGGUUUCAAAUCCCGAAUCGAGGAAAGAUUGACUUUGUAUUACAGUCCGCAAACACAAAAAUCCGGAUAAGGAAUUCUGUUAACUCGGGAGAAAUUGUAAGGCAUUCUCGAAUUCCGUGGUUCUAGCACGGUCGCUCAACUGUUAUAUUUGGCCUAUUUACUUUUAAUACAUGUUUUAGCAUAUGGUUCAAUUUUAACUUUAUAACCGCUUUAUUUAAUCAUUUUUAAGGAAGAUUGCAAUGUCAUUUAAAAUACAUCUUGCACCACGUCACAUAAAUGCACCCGCGGUCCUCGACAUAUUUUACCUAACAUUGUUGAGAUUUGGAUUUGGGUCACAUAAAUGCGCACCCAAGUUUAGGAAGGUAAUUUUAAGUAUCGCGCCUAAAGCAACUACGCACUUUCAAGUUUGCGAGGGCCAUGGAAAAUUCACUAAUGGAACACCUCGAUUUCUAAGGGUUCAAGCAUUAAUUAAGUGAGGGUCAUGCAUUUUUGAGGUUUUAUUUGGCACGGUGCACCUCAAUACAAUUUAAAGAAAAUUCGAAACUAAACUUUGAGGGCCAUAAAUUGUACAUUUGGCUUAAUACGGCACACCCCCAAAUUAUUAAAAUAAGGGAAUUAUAUUCAACUAAAGCGAAUUACGGGGUUCAUGCUUAAUCUAAAUCAAAAUCAGUCUCGAGUCCAUCAAUUCUUGAUUUUAACAUCACUACUCCGACCUGAAGCAGCAAAAUUGGAUGUUAAUGGGAUUAAAAUAUCCUAAAAAUAAGUAAACAUAAGCAAAUUCCAAAACUAGAUACUAGUCUUCAAAAUCUCUAUUCCUGCAAUAAUUGCUUAAGCCAACCUGACAGUAACUAACUUAAAUUUUGUAACCCCUGCUCUUUCUUCUUUAUUUGUUAAUCCACUCUAUUAGUCUAACUAAUCACUUCACAAUACAAAAAAUAACACAUUAAAUUAUUUAGUAAACUAAUUACAAUUAAACCAAAUAAACCAAAAUAUCUAAGGCAUUUAUGGGAGAUUGGGCAGAGAAGUAGAUUAAGACUCUUAAGUAGAAGAAAGAAAUUAAAGUAAAAACAAAUGAAGAAUAACAAAAGUAUCAAACAGACUCACCAAAACUUGAGCGAACACCAUAUAAACCGGAAUGAAAUGGGAAGAUUGACAUUUAUAUUGACAAAUUUGGCUUGAAUAUUACACUCCCAAGGUGAACGAAGCGUAGGAGUCUGACCAACGACCGGAGCUCGGAAUCUCGUUGGCGACCUCAAACUCGACUGAAGUUUUGGUUCUGUUUCACGAUGGAAUUAGCAACAAUCUGAGCUACUAUUUUGGGGUUAAAGAGUGAUGACAACUAUGAUUUUAGUAAUUGAUUUUGCGGGUUUAAGAGGAGCUAUUUCUCGACUGAUUUUGUCAGGUUUGAGGGGUUAUUUCACGGUCAAUUUUCAGCUUAUUCCAGACAAUUUUUGGGGCUGUUCUGUGUUGUUUUUCGCUGGAAGCUUCGUGAAGAAGAUGAAGUUUUGGAGGGGUCGGGGGGUUGUGUUCUUCUCAACGGCGGAUUUCAAUGUAUUUUUUAGGUGUAUUUUUUAGGCGUCCUUUAUUUUAGGUGUUAGAUAC
rnacentral:lncRNA from 1 species